CAAAACAUGUAUUUUUACUGCUGUAAUUCUGUUGGUAACCAGUUUGUAAUAGCAAUACGGCACAUCUGGGGUUUGUGGUAUAUGGCCAAUAUACCACGGCUAGGGGCUGUAUUCAGGCGUUUCACGUUGCAUCGUGCUAAGAACAGCCCUAUACCACACCCCAUCAUGCCUUAUUGCUUAAGUAUAAGUCAUACCCAUAGAACCUAGCGGUAAAACCCAGAAAUGUUUGCAAUCGUUUUUUUAACCAUUCAUUUUUUCGUCUUUAUAUAAGUUUUUUGUAGCCUUUUGUAGCGAACUAGCUAACCUUAGGUCUCCGUCGAUCAGAAGCAAGGAUGGUUCUGUGCUAUGUACCGGAUUGUAACCACUACUCCAAAAAGCACACACACAUUUUGUUUUCCGACCCCGAGAGACGUCGCUGUAGCAGUGUGAUAAGGCCAACAGGAGUGCACCCCUCAGACCAUCCGGUGCAUGGACAUCCUGUGCCAGUGGUAGGAUAUCCUGUGCCAGUGUGAUCCGAGCGCAACCGUCCAGUUGUAGACUACAGCAGAUCGAGCCUGUGGACGGAGAGUCCAACAGGAGUGUAUCCUUCAGACCAUCCGGUGCAUAGACAUCCUGCGCCAGUGUGAUCCGAGCAUGAGCGUCCAGUUAUGGAGGCUACCAUUGGUGGGAAAAGUACUCAAUUGUCAUACUUGAGUAAAAAUGAGGCGUGACAUGCGAAACAUCAGUCUCACCCCACGAGAAGCAGUACAUGAUCAACGCCAUCCUCAGCAAGGAGAUCUGCUGGAAGUGAUGUACUCUCACUCUGGGGAAAACGGGUACUGACAGGAGGAGCAAUUACGAGACUGUCAGAGGUCGUCGUGAUGGAGGCUUGGUGGUCAAAACAACACAGAAUCAGGUGUUCCUUCGAAUGAUGUGGCACAGACCUUGGACCUGGUUCCAGUGAGGAUGGUCUUCAGAGGCUGUAAGACCCUCCCUCCUUGAUAUAGAAAUCAACUUCAAUGGUAAUGCCCCUGCACCAUAAGGACACUUGACCUCUAACCACUGCAGUGGUGCUCACCAGACCAUCCAAGUGAGGCUCCCAGGACCGAAAGCCCUGACUCUCACACAUCUAUCCCUGUAGCCAUUUUGAAUGCCUGAUGCCCUCCUCUUUAUGUGCCCCACUUUACAGGCAACACCCCAUCCAAUGAGUGUGAUCUGAGGACCCUGCUCCACCGACAGCACCAUGCCAGCCUGGUUGCCUGCAUGCCCCAGGUGCCCUUGUUUUUGAACAAUGUCUGGUACAGGGAGAGUUGCAGUUGUUCUAGCUCAGGUUCAAGGAGACAUGCCAUUCCACUGAACCUUCCCUGGGGACGGUUCCUUACCACGGAAGAUCCUCCUCUGUGGGCUCCCGGGACAGAGAGGAUUUGUAGUCUUCGGCCAGGUACAGGUCCUCCACUGACUGCACCUGGUUGGGCCCGGCUGGCUUCCUCCUCACACUCCACAUCCAUACAGCUGAUAUUGUGAUCUGCCAAAAUAGGCUGCAUGGCUACACUUAUGAGCUCCAUGGAGGCAUUUGCUUGUGAUAGAGAGAAUUACCUGGUCACUUAUUAUAGAGACCUGACAAGCGGAAGGAUGUUAAGUGCCACAUGCCUUUGUGCUUGACUUUGAACACCCUGAAAUGCAUUUGUUGUAAGAGUGCUAAUAAGAAGUUUGACAGAAUAUUUCAACUGUAAUUUUCACAAGGACAAGUGCAGUUUUUCCAUAAACUUUUAAUUGAUAAUUUGAUUUUCACUUUACAUAUCAGUCAGUGCAAAGGAUCCCAUAAUCAAGACUGUGAAUAAAUAAAUUGUUUUUGAAGCUU